CGGAGGAAAAGAAACCAACAGGGAUUGCCCCAGUAGCGGCGAGUGAAGCGGCAAGAGCUCAGAUUUGAAAUCGUGUUUCGGCACGAGUUGUAGAGUGUAGGCGGGAGUCUCUGUGGAGCGCGGUGUCCAAGUCCCUUGGAACAGGGUGCCUGAGAGGGUGAGAGCCCCGUAGGGUGCUGCGCGAAGCUUUUGAGGCCCUGCUGACGAGUCGAGUUGUUUGGGAAUGCAGCUCCAAGCGGGUGGUAAAUUCCAUCUAAGGCUAAAUAUUGGCGAGAGACCGAUAGCGAACAAGUACUGUGAAGGAAAGAUGAAAAGCACUUUGAAAAGAGAGUGAAACAGCACGUGAAAUUGUUGAAAGGGAAGGGUAUUGGGCUCGACAUGGGGGGUGCGCACCGCUGUCUCUUGUAGGCGGCGCUCUGGGCGCCCUCUGGGCCAGCAUCGGUUCCUGCUGCGGGAGAAGGGGCUCCGGAAAGUGGCUCUUCGGAGUGUUAUAGCCGGGGCCAGAUGCCGCGUGUGGGGACCGAGGACUGCGGCUUCUGUCUCGGAUGCUGGCAUAACGGCGCAAUACCGCCCGUCUU
rnacentral:rRNA from 1 species